CUAAGUAAGUAAUCCCAUAGAGACUGUUCAAAACAAAAUGUUUAAGAACUUAAAGAAUCCGUUAAAUGCAACUAGGUAUUUUUAGAAACUCUCCUGUUUUCAUUUGCCAAAAUAAAAUGCAACAACAAAUUGCACGAAAGAAGGGGUAACCUGUGCCAAAAGCAUUGUGUGAAUAUACUUGCAUCCUAAUGUGAUCUCUUACAAACUAUUCUUCUGUAAUUUUUGAAAUUUGCAAUCCCAAACAUACCAGCAUAGAACUUGUACAUGGGUGAAGUGAAUGUUUUGAGCAUUUUAACAUGAUUGCACCAGUAAAGCAUGUUUGUAAAGGCUGUCCAUGUACGUAGAGUCUGCACAUUUUAUGGAUUGUGAG